rnacentral:misc_RNA from 1 species
GAUGAAGAACGUAGCGAAAUGCGAUAAGUAAUGUGAAUUGCAGAAUUCAGUGAAUCAUCGAAUCUUUGAACGCACAUUGCGCCCCCUGGUAUUCCGGGGGGCAUGCCUGUCCGAGCGUCAUUACAACCCUCAAGCUCAGCUUGGUGUUGGGCCCCGCCGCCCCGGCGGGCCCUAAAGUCAGUGGCGGUGCCGUCCGGCUCCGAGCGUAGUAAUUCUUCUCGCUCUGGAGGUCCGGUCGUGUGCUCGCCAGCAACCCCCAAUUUUUUUCAGGUUGACCUCGCAUCAGGUAGGGAUACCCGCUGAACUUAAGCAUAUCAAUAAGCGGAGGA